AUGUUCGAGUAUGUAAAUGUUGUCAGCAAGAUGUUUGAUAGUGAGGCUGAAGGCUAUGAAUUCUACAACAAAUAUGCUCUUGAAAAAGGUUUUAGUGUGAGGAAAAGCUACGUUGAGUGGGAUGGAUCCAACAAAUACAUAAUUUUAAGGAAAAUUGUGUGUAGUCGUCAAGGGUUUUGCGAAGAUAAGCACAUGAAAAGAAAGAUGGAAGAUAGAAAGAGGAGGCCACGAAGUUUAACUCGUGUUGGGUGUAAUGCUAAAUUGGUCAUUACGAGACAGGAGGAAACAGGUCGGUGGUUUGUCAAGGAUUUCAUCGAUGAGCACAGCCAUCCUCUAGCCCCACGGGAUCUUUCUUGUCUGCUGCGUUCACACAGAGGAAUUAGCGAUGAGCAGAAAGCGGACAUUGCGGACAUGGAAAAAUGUGGGAUCCGUAAAUACCGUAUUAUGGAUAUUUUGUGCUUUCAAUACGGUGGAUUUGAUAAGGUUGGAUGCAUAAAGAGGGACGUUUAUAAUUUCUGCCAUGCUAAUAAGCAGGAGACAAUCAGUGCCGGUGAUGCUAAAACGGUGAUCAUGCACAUGAUGGCGAGACGAGAGCGAGAUGUGGAUUUUUUCUUCAAGUACUUGGUAGACGAGCAUGGCCAUCUGAAGGGACUGUUCUGGGCUGAUAGUCAAUCGCGACUUGACUACGAGGCUUUCGGAGACGUCAUUGUUUUUGAUAGCACAUACAGAACCAACAAAUACAAUCUGCCAUUCGUGCCUUUUGUCGGGUUGAAUCACCACCGCAACACUGUUAUAUUUGGCUGUGGUAUAAUUUCUCAUGAAACAAGCCAGGCAUACGAGUGGAUUUUGCGGACCUUUUCUGAUUGCAUGGAACAGAAGCAUUCGAUAUCUGUGAUCACAGAUGGGGACCUUGCAAUGCAGAGAGCAAUAAGGGUGGUCUGA
rnacentral:rRNA from 1 species